GGCAAUUCGAUGAUGGAGAAAAGUAGGUCAAAGCAGGCCUUGCCAGGGAGAAGAAACCGCGACUGGAAGUUUCUUCAAGGACGGUUGACUGAAGUUCCCUCCGGAGUUGCUGUGCUGAAAGGUCAGUAGGUGCAGCCGGAGUUCCCGCCGUUAAAAGGGAAAGGUAUCGGAAAUAUCCCGUACCGGCAGAGUGGCAUUACGCAAUUAGGGUGGUACCACGGAAAUACCUCCGUCCCUUGG
rnacentral:ncRNA from 2 species